UGCGGAUUUAUCGAAUUAAAUAACAUGCUCCACUUCGUUUGCUUUGAGGCCGUCUAUUUAUUUAUAUUUCAGCGAUGCCACUAUACUCUACAGGUGGCAGAUUUACCUCGUUAAUUUAAAUACCAAUUAAUUAACUAAUAUUUGAUCUGCAUCGUUUACGGUUAGGAAUAAUGAGUUAACUAGUCUCGGUCUCGCCCCUAACUUUCGUACCUCACCGUCAAUCUUUACCCAGUAACAUGCUUACGCUCUUAGUAGUCACUCAAGUAUUUAAAGAUAUAACCUCUACUCUAGAUGUACUUGUUACCUCUAUCAGAUUCAAGUUUUAAAUUCUAAAACCAGCUACGUACCCUUUACACCAACUUAUAUUUCUCAUGGGUUGCUCUUUCCGUCUAACCGAACCUGCUGGCACGGAGUUUAGGCAGAACUAAUAGAAUCAUAAUCAUCAUUUAUCAUUCUUUAUCAAGUAAUGAACUAUUCAUUACUGAAUCUAGAUC
rnacentral:rRNA from 1 species